rnacentral:lncRNA from 1 species
GUGGACAACCGCCAAGCGACGAACUUAUGUCGCCCGACGGUUUGCCUCUUAUCGCGCCACCGCCCGGCGGCAGGUGGCCACCGCCUGGCGGUUUGACUCUAAUCGCAAAUCCGCCCAGUGCCCACGCCAGGUGCCUUAUCCUCGCCCUGGACUGCCCAGCGGUGAAUUUUGCCGCCGGGCGGUCCCUAGACUCAUCUUUUCUUCAGUUUUCU